rnacentral:tRNA from 1 species
AGGGCUCUUAGCUCAGUUGGUAGAGCAGCGGACUCUUAAUCCGUAGGUCGAGUGUUCGAGUCACUCACGCCCCACCA